AGUCAGUCAUUCACUAUUUUUAGAGUCAUUUUUAAUAAGUUUUUAGUCUAUUUUUAUUAGUUUACUAUUUAAUUUAGAGUCAUUUUAUAUAUUAUAGUUUUUUAUUUAUCGAGUCAAGUAGUGUAUUUUUAUCUAUUAUUAUUGCUCAGUAGCUACAUGAUCAAACAAGAGAGAAAGAUAGCGUGACAUACAAAGGAGGGCUGGAUUGAAAAUAACAAGAACAUGUAUUAUGCAUUAGUAUUGAUGGUGGUAUUGGAUGAAAAAGUGGACCAAGGAAGCAUAUAUCAUGCUAACAUAUAUUUUUGAGUUAUAUACAUUGGCAUCAAAAGAUUAAAACAAGCCACAUAUGUCCCCGUGAGCAUAGCUCAGUUGGCAGGGACAAUGCAUUAUUAUAUAUAGGGGCCGGGGUUCGAACCCCGGACACCCCACUUAUUCACUUUAAAAGUGAAUUUCUAGUCACUAGACUACCUGACUCAAAAAAAAAAGAACAAGCGACAUACAACUUUGAAGGAAACGUGGAAUUAUAAAGUGGGCUUUGACCCAUGUUGUUUGUUGACCCGAGGGUUGGAACUUCAGCUUUGUUAUAAAAAAGGCCAAUUCACGCUUUUGUACAAAAGAAAAAAAAGGAGCAGAUUCACGUUUUGGAGAGCUUCCUUCACGUUUUGGAACGGGUUGAAAGAGAGGCUGCUACGACAUGUACAAGAAGAACAGCGAUUAGAAAGCAAAUUCAGGAGGCAACUACGAAACUCUCGGUUUAUUUUCUUUUCUCUGUUGUUUUAAUUUUAUGAACAUGAGUAGCUAAGGUUUUAGUUUGAUUGAGGCAUGAUGAACCUUUUGUAAUAUAUGAAUCAGUAGUUGAUACUCUCUUUAUUAUUAAUGUUAUUCAGCCUUUAUUCAGAAUUACUUGUGUUCAUUGCUUUUCAUAUAAUUGCUUGUAUGACUAUCAACCCUAGCUUCGUGCAAUUACAUGAAUUGAUAUUAGGAAUUGAAUGACUAUUAACCCUAGCUUUUAAUUCUGAAAUAGUAAUCCUGUUUGAUUCAACAUAGGAACCUAGAGAUAGGAAAUUGAGGAUCAUGACUCAUGAAUUAACGUACUUUUAUCGCUUCCGCAGUUAUUCAAUCGGUUUAAGAGAUUAAAAGAUUAUAACUUAGGAAAGGGUUUUGAGUCAAGAGAUUGAUCAAAACUACUUAAUUAAUUUGUCGUAAAGAUUGAAUAGUAAUUAGUAAUAAAGGGAGGUAAACUACUCAUAUAAAGCAAUAGCGGAUUCAUCGGCAUAAUCAUCCUUCUCGAAUCAUCUUUCAACAACUUUUAUUUACUUUUUAUGCACACAAACCUACUACCUCAGGCACUUACAAAAUUUACACAUCCUAGAUAUUAACUUUAUUGCUAAGUUGAGAUUAACACAGUCCUCGUGGAUACGAACUUAUUAUUUUUAUUACUUCGAUAGUUUUAGUACGCUUGCUAAAAUAUCUAUCAAGUUUUUGGCGCCGCUGCCGGGGACUGUUGAAUCAUUUCAACUUGGCAAUUUUGUUUUUGUUUAGGAUUUCUGUCAUUUAUAUAUAUAUUUUUUUUUUGUAUAUAUAUAUAUAUUGAAAAAAAAAAUUAUUUAUGCUCUUCGUUUUCUUCUCAUUGUACGGUUCUACUAAAAAGUUUAUCCAAGUUUUGCAGCUAUGAUAGACAGGUUACACCUCUAUGAGACAAAAGAGAUUUGGUCAUUGCAGUAUGAAAAAUAUAUGAUAUCUUUGAAGAUAAAAUGUUUGGACAGUAAAAUCUCUCUAUUAAAUGAGAGGUGUGACAAUUAUGAGGUGGAUCAACCAAGUAGUAAUUCUGAAGAGAAGAAAGAGGUGAUCAACAUCGAUUACAAUACUCAACUUCAAAAUAUUUUAGAUGAUUUCUUGGUGUCAAAUCAAGUUUCAGUUGAGAAGUUUGAAGUUCAGUGUGGUGAUCUUGUUGCAAAAGCACAUGAGUCUUAGAGGAAGCUGGUUCAGAUGGAGACUGAGUGUCACGAGGUUGUGGUGGAAGAAAAUUCCAAAGUGAGGAGUGUUGAUAUUUUCCCAAAGUCUGAACCAACGGGGGUUAAGGAAAUCACUCGUGUGCAGAUGGAUGCAUGUCCUUCUCUAAGGUGGGAGAUCUUAAAUUCCAAAGGUUUAACAGUGGGUGCAUGGGAGUAUCUGAUUCUUUAUGUCAAAUUGAUGGAAUUCCUACCAAACAAGAGGAAGAAGAAGGAUGAUAUAUUCUUUCUAUCAUUUUUUCCACCCUAACAGUGGUUGAAGCGUCAAGAUCAAUGACGUAAAAAAAAGCGCUUGGUGGGAGGCAACCCAUCCUUUUUUUUUUAAUGUUUUUUAUUUUGCAGGUAUUUUUUUUUCAGUUAAAAAAAAAAAGCAAACAAAAAAAAAAGUGAAAAGAUGGACCCAAAAAAAAAAGGAGAAAAAAAAAUCAGAGUCCACAUCAGUUCUUAUUUUUUAUUAUUUUCAAUAACUUAUCUUUAUCAGAUGUCAGUUGUGUCAUUUCUCAGUUUGAUUAACUUUAAUUAUUUGCUUGUUUAUAAUUAAUGAAUUUUCUUGUUUCUUGAAAUUUUCCAGUUUGAUAACAGUUUGUUUCACCAAUGAUAACAUCAAAGUUUAAAAGGGGGAGUGACUUGUGUUUCAAAGGCGAAAUGUACGGCAAUUAAAGAUAGGUAGUCACAACUCACAAAAAUCUAAUACUGUAAGGUUCAUGACCAAAUUUUAUUUUUCAAUUUACUUAUAUAGAGUGUUCCGUGCAACUACAUUUCUAGAACUUGCAUUGUUUCUUUACUGUUGAUUGAUCUAUGUCAUUUACACAUUGAGGCAAAGUGCUUGGUCCUGUGAGCCUUUGAAGCCUACCCUGAUUAUGAUUUGAAAUUUAUCCUUUUUGAAAGCCAAAUUGAGCCGGUAGGUUUAGAUCUUUUUGUUCGGUGAUAAACUACAUUACAAACUUAGAGACUUUUAGAAUUUGUCCGAAUCUGAGUUAGGCAUUGUAGAAUGUUGUUAAAAAAUAAGUUUGGGGUUGCUAUAGGAAUUUGCAACCAACUAAGUUUGGGGUGGUGGUACUAGAGAACAAAGAACAAAUCAUGAAAAAUACACACAAAAAUGGUGUAUUAAAAAAAAAAAAAGAAUGAAAAACAAAGGGACAAACAUUGAAAAAUCUGAGUAAUUCCAAACUCGAUUGUCCCAAUAAGUUACAAAUAAUCUCUAGUACCCUUGCAAGAAUUGUUGUUCCAAAAGGUGAAUGAAUGAUGGAUUGAAUUUUGUGCUUAACUUCCGUAUGAAUGCCUAACUCAAAUUUUGUGUAGCCUACUUAUCCAAAUAUUAUUCCACCUUCACCUAAGCCCCGUUAUAAUCCUUUAAGACCUCAAAGUGUGUAAUGACAUUGAUUUUGAUUGACGUUUAGAAACUUUUCAAGCGUAUGAUAAUAUGUAGACCUGCAUGUUGAUUGUGUGUGAACCUUUAUCAAAUUGUUGAGGGGAGUUGUGAUUGGUGGAUGCAAGCAAGUCAAACUAGCUCAACAUAUGGCUAUUAGGGAGAUGAACUUUGAGGAUAUCAUUGGUUGGUGAGCUGUUAUUUUACUGUCAUUUUUCAUUCAACAAGUUUGUUCCUUGAGGACAAGUAACAGUUUAUGUUUGGGGUUGUGAUGGCAGUCAGUCAUUCACUAUUUUUAGAGUCAUUUUUAAUAAGUUUUUAGUCUAUUUUUAUUAGUUUACUAUUUAAUUUAGAGUCAUUUUAUAUAGGCUUAAUUGCACUUUUGUUUAUCGAGUCAAGUAUAUUUUUAUCUAUUAUUAUUGCUCAGUAGCUACAUGAUCAAACAAGAGAGAAAGAUAGCGUGACAUACAAAGGAAGGCUGGAUUGAAAAUAACAAGAACAUGUAUUAUGCAUUAGUAUUGAUGGUGGUAUUGGAUGAAAAAGUGGACCAAGGAAGCAUAUAUCAUGCUGACAUAUAUUUUUGAGUUAUAUACAUCGGCAUCAAAAGAUUAAAACAAGUCACAUAUAAACAUUUAAGGAAACGUGGAAUUAUAAAGUGGGCUUUGACCCAUGUUGUUGGUUGACCCGAGGGUUGGAACUUCAGCUUUGUUAUAAAAAAGGCCAAUUCACGCUUUGGUACAAAAGAAAAAAAGGAGCAGAUUCACGUUUUGGAGAGCUUCCUUCACGUUUUGGAACGGAUUGAAAGAGAGGCUGCUACGGCAUGUACAAGAAGAACAGCGAUUAGAAAGCAAAUUUUGGAGGCAACAACGAAACUCUCGGUUUAUUUUCUUUUCUCUGUUGUUUUAAUUUUAUGAAUAUGAGUAGCUAAGGUUUUAGUUUGAUUGAGCCAUGAUGAACCUUUUGUAAUAUAUGAAUCAGUAGUUGAUACUCUCUUUAUUAUUAAUGUUAUUCAGUCUUUAUUCAGAAUUACGUGUGUUCAUUGCUUUUCAUAUAAUUGUUUGUAUGACUAUUAACCCUAGCUUCGUGCAAUUACAUGAAUUGAUAUUAGGAAUUGAAUGACUAUUAACCCUAGCUUUUAAUCCUGAAAUAGUAAUCCUGUUUGAUUCAACAUAGGAACCUAGAGAUAGGAAAUUGAGGAUCAUGACUCAUGAAUUAACGUACUUUUAUCGCUUCCGCAGUUAUUCAAUCGGUUUAAGAGAUUAAAAGAUUAUAACUUAGGAAAGGGUUUUGAGUCAAGAGAUUGAUCAAAACUACUUAGUUAAUUUGUCGUAAAUAUUGAAUAGUAAUUAGUAAUAAAGGGAGGUAAACUACUCAUAUAAAGCAAUAGCGGAUUCAUCGGCAUAAUCAUCCUUCUCGAAUCAUCUUUCAACAACUUUUAUUUACUUUUUAUGCACACAAACCUACUGCCUCAGGCACUUACAAAAUUUACACAUCCUAGAUAUUAACUUUAUUGCUAAGUUGAGAUUAACACAGUCCUCGUGGAUACGAACUUAUUAUUUUUAUUACUUCGAUAGUUUUAGUACGCUUGCUAAAAUAUCUAUCAAGUUUUUGGCGCCGCUGCCGGGGACUGUUGAAUCAUUUCAACUUAGCAAUUUUGUUUUUGUUUAGGAUUUCUGUCAUUUAUAUAUAUUUUUUUUUUUUGUAUAUAUAUAUAUAUUGAAAAAAAAAAUUAUUUAUGCUCUUCGUUUUCUUCUCAUUGUACGGUUCUACUAAAAAGUUUAUCAAAGUUUUGCAGCUAUGAUAGACAGGUUACACCUCUAUGAGACAAAAGAGAUUUGGUCAUUGCAGUAUGAAAAAUAUAUGAUAUCUUUGAAGAUAAAAUGUUUGGACAGUAAAAUCUCUCUAUUAAAUGAGAGGUGUGACAAUUAUGAGGUGGAUCAACCAAGUAGUAAUUCUGAAGAGAAGAAAGAGGUGAUCAACAUCGAUUACAAUACUCAACUUCAAAAUAUUUUAGAUGAUUUCUUGGUGUCAAAUCAAGUUUCAGUUGAGAAGUUUGAAGUUCAGUGUGGUGAUCUUGUUGCAAAAGCACAUGAGUCUUAGAGGAAGCUGGUUCAGAUGGAGACUGAGUGUCACGAGGUUGUGGUGGAAGAAAAUUCCAAAGUGAGGAGUGUUGAUAUUUUCCCAAAGUCUGAACCAACGGGGGUUAAGGAAAUCACUCGUGUGCAGAUGGAUGCAUGUCCUUCUCUAAGGUGGGAGAUCUUAAAUUCCAAAGGUUUAACAGUGGGUGCAUGGGAGUAUCUGAUUCUUUAUGUCAAAUUGAUGGAAUUCCUACCAAACAAGAGGAAGAAGAAGGAUGAUAUAUUCUUUCUAUCAUUUUUGCCACCCUAACAGUGGUUGAAGCGUCAAGAUCAAUGACGUAAAAAAAAGUGCUUGGUGGGAGGCAACCCAUCCUUUUUUUUUUAAUGUUUUUUAUUUUGCAGGUAUUUUUUUUUCAGUUAAAAAAAAAAAGCAAACAAAAAAAAAAGUGAAAAGAUGGACCCAAAAAAAAAAAGGAGAAAAAAAAAAUCAGAGUCCACAUCAGUUCUUAUUUUUUAUUAUUUUCAAUAACUUAUCUUUAUCAGAUGUCAGUUGUGUCAUUUCUCAGUUUGAUUAACUUUAAUUAUUUGCUUGUUUAUAAUUAAUGAAUUUUCUUGUUUCUUGAAAUUUUCCAGUUUGAUAACAGUUUGUUUCACCAAUGAUAACAUCAAAGUUUAAAAGGGGGAGUGACUUGUGUUUCAAAGGCGAAAUGUACGGCAAUUAAAGAUAGGUAGUCACAACUCACAAAAAUCUAAUACUGUAAGGUUCAUGACCAAAUUUUAUUUUUCAAUUUACUUAUAUAGAGUGUUCCGUGCAACUACAUUUCUAGAACUUGCAUUGUUUCUUUACUGUUGAUUGAUCUAUGUCAUUUACACAUUGAGGCAAAGUGCUUGGUCCUGUGAGCCUUUGAAGCCUACCCUGAUUAUGAUUUGAAAUUUAUCCUUUUUGAAAGCCAAAUUGAGCCGGUAGGUUUAGAUCUUUUUGUUCGGUGAUAAACUACAUUACAAACUUAGAGACUUUUAGAAUUUGUCCGAAUCUGAGUUAGGCAUUGUAGAAUGUUGUUAAAAAAUAAGUUUGGGGUUGCUAUAGGAAUUUGCAACCAACUAAGUUUGGGGUGGUGGUACUAGAGAACAAAGAACAAAUCAUGAAAAAUACACACAAAAAUGGUGUAUUAAAAAAAAAAAAAGAAUGAAAAACAAAGGGACAAACAUUGAAAAAUCUGAGUAAUUCCAAACUCGAUUGUCCCAAUAAGUUACAAAUAAUCUCUAGUACCCUUGCAAGAAUUGUUGUUCCAAAAGGUGAAUGAAUGAUGGAUUGAAUUUUGUGCUUAACUUCCGUAUGAAUGCCUAACUCAAAUUUUGUGUAGCCUACUUAUCCAAAUAUUAUUCCACCUUCACCUAAGCCCCGUUAUAAUCCUUUAAGACCUCAAAGUGUGUAAUGACAUUGAUUUUGAUUGACGUUUAGAAACUUUUCAAGCGUAUGAUAAUAUGUAGACCUGCAUGUUGAUUGUGUGUGAACCUUUAUCAAAUUGUUGAGGGGAGUUGUGAUUGGUGGAUGCAAGCAAGUCAAACUAGCUCAACAUAUGGCUAUUAGGGAGAUGAACUUUGAGGAUAUCAUUGGUUGGUGAGCUGUUAUUUUACUGUCAUUUUUCAUUCAACAAGUUUGUUCCUUGAGGACAAGUAACAGUUUAUGUUUGGGGUUGUGAUGGCAGUCAGUCAUUCACUAUUUUUAGAGUCAUUUUUAAUAAGUUUUUAGUCUAUUUUUAUUAGUUUACUAUUUAAUUUAGAGUCAUUUUAUAUAGGCUUAAUUGCACUUUUGUUUAUCGAGUCAAGUAUAUUUUUAUCUAUUAUUAUUGCUCAGUAGCUACAUGAUCAAACAAGAGAGAAAGAUAGCGUGACAUACAAAGGAAGGCUGGAUUGAAAAUAACAAGAACAUGUAUUAUGCAUUAGUAUUGAUGGUGGUAUUGGAUGAAAAAGUGGACCAAGGAAGCAUAUAUCAUGCUGACAUAUAUUUUUGAGUUAUAUACAUCGGCAUCAAAAGAUUAAAACAAGUCACAUAUAAACAUUGAAGGAAACGUGGAAUUAUAAAGUGGGCUUUGACCCAUGUUGUUGGUUGACCCGAGGGUUGGAACUUCAGCUUUGUUAUAAAAAAGGCCAAUUCACGCUUUGGUACAAAAGAAAAAAAGGAGCAGAUUCACGUUUUGGAGAGCUUCCUUCACGUUUUGGAACGGAUUGAAAGAGAGGCUGCUACGGCAUGUACAAGAAGAACAGCGAUUAGAAAGCAAAUUUUGGAGGCAACAACGAAACUCUCGGUUUAUUUUCUUUUCUCUGUUGUUUUAAUUUUAUGAAUAUGAGUAGCUAAGGUUUUAGUUUGAUUGAGCC
rnacentral:lncRNA from 1 species